rnacentral:rRNA from 1 species
GAUGAACGCUGGCGGCGUGCCUAAUACAUGCAAGUCGAGCGAACAGAUAAGGAGCUUGCUCCUUUGACGUUAGCGGCGGACGGGUGAGUAACACGUGGGUAACCUACUUAUAAGACUGGAAUAACUCCGGGAAACCGGGGCUAAUGCCGGAUAACAUUUAGAACCGCAUGGUUCUAAAGUGAAAGAUGGUUUUGCUAUCACUUAUAGAUGGACCCGCGCCGUAUUAGCUAGUUGGUAAGGUAACGGCUUACCAAGGCAACGAUACGUAGCCGACCUGAGAGGGUGAUCGGCCACACUGGAACUGAGACACGGUCCAGACUCCUACGGGAGGCAGCAGUAGGGAAUCUUCCGCAAUGGGCGAAAGCCUGACGGAGCAACGCCGCGUGAGUGAUGAAGGUCUUCGGAUCGUAAAACUCUGUUAUUAGGGAAGAACAAAUGUGUAAGUAACUGUGCACGUCUUGACGGUACCUAAUCAGAAAGCCACGGCUAACUACGUG